rnacentral:tRNA from 4 species
CGGGCCGGAGUAUGCCGGUAGUACGCACGCUUCGGGUGCGUGAAGACCGAGUUCGAUUCUCGGCGGCCCGACCA